rnacentral:tRNA from 2 species
UGGCGAAAUUGGUAGACGCACCAGAUUUAGGUUCUGGCGCCGCGAGGCGUAAGAGUUCAAGUCUCUUCUUCCGCACCA